CGGUAACACGGGAUGGAGGUCCGCACCAAUAAGCGUUGAAAAGCUUCUGGAUGAGCCGAGUGUAGGAGUGAAAGGCCAAUCAAACUUGGAGAUAGCUCGUACUCCCCGAAAGGCAUUUAGGUGCCGCGUCGGAUGGUCACCGUGAGAGGUAGAGCGACCGAUAGGACAAGAGGGCUUCACCGCCUAUCGAGUCCUGACGAACUCCGAAUGCUCACGGUCUGCAGUCCGGCAGUAAGGGGGCGGGUGCUAAGGUCCGUCCCCGAGAGGAGAAGAAUCCAGACCGCCGUCUAAGGUCCCGGAGUUCUGCCUGAGUUAGUCUAACGAAGUCUGGUCCCUAUGACAGCUAGGAUGUUGGCUUGGAAGCAGCCAUUCAUUCAAAGAGUGCGUAACAGCUCACUAGUCGAGGGUCCGGGCAUGGAUAAUAAUCGGGUAUAAGGCAGACACCGAAGGCGCGGGAUAGCAAUUAUAAAAGUAUCGGUAGGGGAGCAUACUCACAGCGUCGAAUGGUGUACGUAAGUUAUCCUGGAGCGGUGAGUAAAGCAAAUGUAGGAAUAAGUAACGAUAAGGAGGGUUAGAUUCCCUCCCGCUGUAAGACCAAGGUUUCCCGGGCAAUGCCAAUCAGCCCGGGGUCAGUCGGGUCCUAAGUCUAAGCCGAACGGCGAUGGCGAUGGCAGAGACGGUUAAUAUUCCGUCACUGCCGCAUGGGGCGACGUGGAGACGGAGCAGUGAAACCACCGCGGGGCGACGGAAGUCCCCGUUGAAGAGUGUAGGUGUUGAGGAUGGCAGGCAAAUCCACCAUCCGAGCUGAACUUGACAGUACGGAGUCCUCCUCGGAGGAAUCUGAUAGUGUGGGUAAUCAUACUCCCGAGAAAAUCCGCUAAGCUUAACCCAUGCGGCACCCGUACCGCAAACGGACACACGUGGUCGGGUAGAACAUACUAAGGCGUUGAGAGAUUCAUGGUUAAGGAACUAGGCAAAUUGACCCUGUAACUUCGGGAUAAAGGGUCCUCGUGAUGAGCGAGGCGCAGAGAAUAGGUCCAGGCAACUGUUUAACAAAAACACAGGGCUGUGCAAACUCGAAAGAUGACGUAUACAGCCUGACACCUGCCCGGUGCCGGAAGGUUAAGAGGAGAUGUCAC
rnacentral:rRNA from 1 species